CAUGGCCUUGACAUGUUCUGGGACAUGAUUCCUAACACUCUCAUGUUAUGAAUUUCCUGAGGACUCUUCUGUGAUGACCUCUGUGUGCUUAACCAAUAUCUGGAUGGAGGUGGUCAAUAUACCAGAGCGCCAUGAAGUGACAAAGAGCAUUUCUUGAAGAAACCUCAGCAGAGUGAUGGGUGAUCAUUUGGUUCAAUAACACUAAAGGCUGGAUGAAUUUACCUGGAGAGGACCGUAAUGAAAAUCUGAAAUAACCUUUAUAAUUUUCAAGUGAGGAAAUGAAGGCCAAACAUGAGAGGCUACAAUAAGAGUAUACUGGGCAUUGUGCCAAGAACAGGGGAUAUAAUGAUGAACAAGAAACAGAUACAAACAAAUAAGGGAUGAUCUGUGCUACUUUGAGGAAAAACUCAAAGCGACCAGGAAAGAAAGAAGAUGGAUCCGGGAGCAUGGUGGGUGUGUUGGGAGGUAGACAUACUUCAAAAAGGGACGUUACUAAGCAUACACAAAUGUUGUUGACCCAGCUUGGCCGACACACCUAUCUGGAAGGUGACGGUAUAGCCAUUCAGGCAAUGUUUAUGUAUUUAUGCACAAAAAAAAAUGUUAUCUCUCUGCCUCACAGGUAUUUUAUAAACACAAGCAAUUCCUUCUGUGUAUUACUGCCAUGAUGCUGGAAACACUGCAUCGCCAGUAACCAGCAGAGAGCCUGGGACAUAGCAGGCAUGUGAUCAUGUUGAAUAACAACACUCAUAAAUAAAUGAAAGGCACUUUUAGAACAAUAGGAUGUUGAAUUUAU